UAAAAGGGUGUUUGCCGCUCUAAUGGCAUGCCAGUCAAUUAGCUGGUAGGGUAUGGCUAUCAAGACAUACCCAACACACAAUUUUUGAAAACAGAGGCAGUUGGCUGUCAACUUGCACCGGCGCCUCU